GGUGGGUCACCAUGCAUUUACUAUAUAUUAUUGGAAUUAUUGUCUCCUGGAUUGUCAUCGAAUCGGGAGGUAAUCAAGAUUGCCAGCCCUACUCUUUACACGCACCUUUUAUGCAGAGAGAUACAUACAUAAUAAAUAAUCAAAUUGAUGGUUGAUCAGUUAUCCCACUACCUCUGUUAACAUGACACUAAGGAUAUAAUGAUUUUGUUAACACAGUAACUAUAACAUUUAUUGAUGAGCCAAGGGUAAGAAUUGUAUUUUUCCAAAGUUUUCAUGUGAAUUUAAAAUUUUUUGACUCUUUGUAUUUCAGACUGCUGAACUUCUCGCCAAUAUAAGCAAGUUCAGGGGUUUAUUCAAAGUACAGAAUGAAGACCAUGCAGCAAUCCAGGAGGCAAUCGAGGACACCACGGUGGGAACUGGCAGUGGUGAGGAAGAGGACAUUCUCGUGGUCCACAUCUCCCAGGCUGUGGUGGUCGACCCACCAAGUGUCUGAGUGGCAGUUGCCAAGGCUUUUUUGGCCUUAUUUACAGCACAAAUCUGAUAACCAUCCUCAUCUCAGAAACACCUUGUCAUGGGGCCCGUGGCUUUGCUCCUGCUAUGAUCUCCUGGAGGCCCUUCCCUUCUUGAGCUCUCCCGCUGGUCACAGGUGUUCUGUAUUAUGUUGAUUGGUUUGUCUAUUUAUGCAGUGUCUGAUCUUGUUUCUGUGUCGGAGCGUCUUCGUUCUACGCUCUGGUGUUAUGGUUCUCUGGCAUUAAAGCCCCUUCGAGUGAA